rnacentral:lncRNA from 1 species
AUCUUGACCUCUGAGUAGGUAACCUCCACACAGCUCUUGACUUAAUAAGGAUUACACAGAAUCCAGAAACAUAGCAGAGAUUGUUUCUCGCGAUAUGCUUUGUAAAGACAAGAAA